GCGAAAGUGGCGGAAUUGGUAGACGCGCUAGACUUAGGAUCUAGUGUCCGAGAGGACGUGGGGGUUCGAGUCCCCCCUUUCGCA
rnacentral:tRNA from 1 species